CAGAGAAAAACACUAUAGAUACGUAAGAGAAAGCCAUAACGUAAAUGCAUCAUCUUUUGUUCCUGAAUGGAGGCCUAAUCUGUCUGCUGCACUUGAGCAGGUUCAGUUUUUAGAGUGAAUGAAAACUUUUGAAGCAUAUAUAUGCCGUAUGAUGUGAUUUAAAAUCAUACUUAUUUUACUCUGGUGGGGAUUAUUAUGAGCAAACAAACUUAAAAAUUUAAUCUGAACACUAUAUACAUGUAAUCUGACUUUUUUUUUUUUUUUACAGAAAUUCUGAGCUGCUGUAUGAACAUUCAUCAAACAUAUAAGGCUGCAAUUUGGAAAAAACUUUCAAGCUAAUGCUGCUGCAAUGGAGUUCAAGGGGACUGAAGAGGUGGCUCCAGCAGAUCAGAAGGGAGGACUUCAGGAGGCAGACACACUGUUACAGUAAUCAGCUGAUCCAGCCGUAUCCAGACCAGAAGGUGGACCUGCACCCAGGAAUGACCACAACACAUCCCUGAAUGUCAGCGGAGACCAUGUCAGCUAGAUGACAGAUCCCUGUGAAGACCUCAUUGAUGGCCCCAGCACAGAUCCUCAGCAAAGACUACGAGAACCAGACAAGCCCUCUACGCAGACCCUUUUUACCAGCUUCACCUGCUAGCGUGAUGUUUCUUCAUGCAGAAGAAGUUGGAUGAAAUAUUUUGAAUGAUAUCAAUCCACAAUCUGACUUGUGAUGCAGCCUGGAAUAAUCACACCACGUUCAUUCGUUUGGCCAGAAGAGACUGUUUCUGACUGAGCCGGGUCUUGUUUGGGUUCCUUGUCACUGUUGCCUUUUGUCUUGCUUCGUUGAAGACACCUAAUAUUCAGCAAUAUUAUUGACUUGACUGCACUGACACCAUUUGAUAAGAACUGAACUGAAUUAUG